UGGGGAAUUUUGGACAAUGGGGGAAACCCUGAUCCAGCAAUGCCGCGUGAGUGAAGAAGGCCUUCGGGUUGUAAAGCUCUUUUAUUGAUGAAGAUGAUGACGGUAAUCAAAGAAUAAGUUCCGGCAAACUUCGUGCCAGCAGCCGCGGUAAUACGAAGGGAACUAGCGUUGUUCGGAAUCACUGGGCGUAAAGCGCAAGUAGGUUGUUAAUUAAGUCAGUUGUGAAAUCCUGGUUCUCAAGAUCAGAACAGCAAUUGAAACUGAAUAACUAGAGUACAGAAGGGGAUAGUGGAAUUCCAAGUGUAGCAGUGAAAUGCGUAGAUAUUUGGAGGAACACCAGAAGCGAAGGCGUCUAUCUGGUCUGUAACUGACACUGAGUUGCGAAAGCAUGGGGAGCAAACA
rnacentral:rRNA from 1 species